GUGCUCUCUUUGGCAGCACAUAUACUAUAAUUGAAACAAUACAGAGAAGAUUAGCAUGGCCCCUGCGCAAGGAUGACAUACAAAUUUAUGAAGCAUUCCAUGUAUUU
ensembl:snRNA U6 U6 spliceosomal RNA